rnacentral:rRNA from 1 species
GCCCCGAGAUGAGUUCUCCCUGAGACUAUAAGUCUCCUGAAGGAACGUUAAAGACGAUGACGUUGAUAGGCCGGGUGUGUAAGCGCAGCGAUGCGUUGAGCUAACCGGUACUAAUGAACCGUGAGGCUUAACCUUAC